CGUAGGGUGCGAGCGUUAAUCGGAAUUACUGGGCGUAAAGGGUGCGCAGGCGGUUAUGAAAGACAGGCGUGAAAUCCCCGGGCUUAACCUGGGAACUGCGUUUGUGACUACAUGACUCGAGUACGGCAGAGGGGGGGUGGAAUUCCACGUGUAGCAGUGAAAUGCGUAGAGAUGUGGAGGAACACCGAUGGCGAAGGCAGCCCCCUGGGCCAGUACUGACGCUCAUGCACGAAAGCGUGGGGAGCAAACAGGAUUAGAUACCCUGGUAGUCCACGCCCUAAACGAUGUCAACUAGUUGUUGGUAGGGUAAAACCUAUUAGUAACGUAGCUAACGCGUGAAGUUGACCGCCUGGGGAGUACGGCCGCAAGGUUA
rnacentral:rRNA from 1 species